rnacentral:rRNA from 1 species
AUUGAACGCUGGCGGCAGGCUUAACACAUGCAAGUCGAGCGAGCGGCGGACGGGUGAGUAAUGUCUGGGAAACUGCCUGAUGGAGGGGGAUAACUACUGGAAACGGUAGCUAAUACCGCAUACCAUCAGAUGUGCCCAGAUGGGAUUAGCUAGUAGGUGGGGUAAUGGCUCACCUAGGCGACGAUCCCUAGCUGGUCUGAGAGGAUGACCAGCCAAACUGGAACUGGGACCAGGUCCAGACGCCUACGGGGGGCAGCAGUGGGGGAAAUUGGACAAUGGGCGGAAGCCUGAUGCAGCCAUGCCGCGUGUGGGAAGAAGGCCUUCGGGUUGUAAAGCACUUUCAGCGAGGAGGAGUUACUCGCAGGAGGAGCACCGGCUAACUCCGUGGCAGCAGGCGCGGUAAUAC